GGGUAACCUCACAUGACAAGGAAAUGUGGGCAGCCUCAAGGAGCAGAGGGAGACCCUAGGCAGCAAGCAAACAAGGCCCUCAGGCUUACCACUACAAGGAAUGAAUUCCACCAACAACCUGAAUAAGCUUGGUUUAGGAUGGCAAACCCAACCAAGUAGUUCCUCUUCAGGGAAGACUCGGCAGCACCUCAGUGAACAGAUGAAGACACUGAGGUAAAAGGACACGAACCUAAUAAGCUGCAAAGCUGGGAUGUGAACCAAGGGAUGGAACUCCAGAGAACCUGCUGUAAAUCUUCACAACACCGUGACCUCUGAAAGCAAGAUCGCUCUUGGUAACCACUUCCCCCUGCUCUUAAUC